CCUCCCCAACUGGUGUCAAGGAAAGUUUUCAAAUUCAGCUUCAAAGGCAAAACCUCCGAUGUUUGGAAUUGAAAUUUUCUUGGCAAAAGGUAAUUUUUUUUUUAAAGACGACUGUUGGACUCUCUGAUGGAAAUAUAACUCACAAUUGAUUACAUAAAUAUUUUGCUUCAAGAGCUGUGAUCCAUCAACAACCUGAAAACCCUGGGCCCCAUGCACCCCGCAGCUUGAGCACCAGGACAGGGAGAGGGCAAGCCCGCAGCUUCAACGUCAGGUCAAGGAGAGCGUCCCGUUGCUUUACUAUCGGUUGAGGGAGAGCCCUGAGUGCCCUUUUCUACAAUCAACCAGCCAGC